CGUAGUGAAUUGCAUCGUUUUUGAGUGUCAUAAAUCGCGCGCAAUUAUUACGUUUUGUAAAUUGUAGGUGAAUUUGUUAGAGUAAUGAUUGUUACGUAGCAUGAUUAUUUGCGAAACAUGGUGAAGAACAAAAAUUUCGUAAUAGAACUCGGUAUUUGUUCGUCGUAAUUUAAAUCUACGGUUUCCAAUAACAAGCGAACAAAGCAAAGAGAAGAGCAAGGUUAUACGAACGUCUCUUUUCUUUAUCAAUUGGUACUAGAUUUCCCUAGGAUAUUCGCAGAAGAAGUCGGAGGCUGGAGAUUGUCGUAGCAUCGGGGAUGACUGGUCGAACCUCCUGGCAUUUUAUCUGGUACAAUAUCGCUCAUCCUGACCCCAAGGACAAUCCAUCUCUCCGUUGCAGAUAUGGUUAGCCGACAUGCACCUUCUUUCCCCGCAAUGCAAAGCAGACUUGGAUAUGGUGUUCAUCGCCAGGAUGGGUUUCUUCAUGAUCUUUGUGCUGUUGACGGAGGAAGACGAAGAGGAAGAGGAGGCUGCACACUCGCCGCAUUCAGUCUCGUCGCUGUGAUCCGCACAAUCCAAGUAGCCGUCGCAUCGCCAGUCAACCGGAAUGCAUCUGGUCCCAUCGCAUUGGAACCCACUGGUGCAUACUGUGCAACGCGUGCAUCAAGAAAUGGCUAACAGUACAGUUCUUUUCUAUGUACUACGUACACUCGCGUUUCUCCUUCGUUUCUGUAUUUUAUUUCCAAUUUUUUUCAUCUUGUUUUUUACGUUUUCCCCUGUUCAGAGUUUUCGAUGGUCUCGUAAUGGAAGAGGAACAGAUGAAACGUGAAAAUGUAAAAAAAUUGAAAGAAUAGAGGAUCAGAGAAUGCAUGAUAAAUGGCUGUGAUUGUCUUCGGGUUGGGGAUUUGCUCAUUGUGAAGCCGAGGUAUUACGGGACGGUAUAGUUAUCCACUUUUUUUAUGUCUUUGUAUUGAGAUAAUUAAUGCAGGAUCGAUAAUGUUAAUCGUCAAUGAGAUUUCUAAGUACAAAUCUUCCCUUUCGAGCGAA